AUAUGAUGAUCUAUGUUACCAGGGACGUAUUAUAGCAACUAAAAUUUCCAUGAAUAUAGAAACCCCGAUUUGCACUCUUUGUCAAAAUUAAACUUUGAAAUAUCUCUUUUCUGAAAUAGCAGUUUCUGUUAGAAAUACAGAUGAAAUGAGACUUUAUCUUUUAAAAUAUAUGUAAGCAGUUCAAUAGAGUCUUUGAAAAUUAUAAUAAUUUUAUUAUAUAUAUAAAAUGGUUAGUAUAGAAAAGUUAGAAAAUACAAAG
rnacentral:lncRNA from 1 species